UACGUAGGGUGCGAGCGUUAAUCGGAAUUACUGGGCGUAAAGCGUGCGCAGGCGGUUUUGUAAGCCAGAUGUGAAAUCCCCGGGCUUAACCUGGGAAUGGCAUUUGGGACUGCAAGGCUCGAGUGCGGCAGAGGAGACUGGAAUUCCUGGUGUAGCAGUGAAAUGCGUAGAUAUCAGGAGGAACAUCAGUGGCGAAAGCGGCUUCCUGGACCAGUACCGACGUUCAGGCACGAAAGCGUGGGGAGCAAACAGG
rnacentral:rRNA from 1 species